AUCCUAUUGUAGCUCAUAAGCAUGAUUAUUGGUUUUUCACACUCAUGCGUGAGAUGUGCCUCCCUCAAACCUUGUUACCAUGUCCCCACAUUACUGCCUGACA
rnacentral:snoRNA from 1 species